CACUCUCAAGCAAUAAAGUCUUCAAAUGGUGGUUGCUGUUCUUUUAUAACCUUCCCAAAUUUCAUUUUUUUUAACGUUUUUCCCUUAUUUUCUACCGACGAGUUUUCUCUAUCUCUCUCCAUCUUUAAAGACCAGUAGAGUUGGCUGUAGUCCCUGGGCUUUUAUUUUUUGUUGAAUAUGUUGACUCUGAUCUUCUGAGAGAAAAAAAAAAAGUGAGAGAGAG
rnacentral:misc_RNA from 1 species